GAUGAACGCUAGCGGCAGGCUUAACACAUGCAAGUCGAGGGGUAACAUAAGUGCUUGCACUUGAUGACGACCGGCGCACGGGUGCGUAACGCGUAUAGAAUCUACCUUUUGCUGAGGAAUAGCCCAGAGAAAUUUGGAUUAAUGCCUCAUAGUAUGUUUUUAUCACAUGAUGAUUACAUUAAAGGUUACGGCAAAAGAUGACUAUGCGUCCUAUUAGCUAGAUGGUAAGGUAACGGCUUACCAUGGCAACGAUAGGUAGGGGCCCUGAGAGGGGGAUCCCCCACACUGGUACUGAGACACGGACCAGACUCCUACGGGAGGCAGCAGUGAGGAAUAUUGGACAAUGGAGGGAACUCUGAUCCAGCCAUGCCGCGUGCAGGAAGACUGCCCUAUGGGUUGUAAACUGCUUUUAUACAGGAAGAAACCGCGCUACGUGUAGCGCUCUGACGGUACUGUAAGAAUAAGGAUCGGCUAACUCCG
rnacentral:rRNA from 1 species